rnacentral:rRNA from 1 species
GGAAUGCGGCAGCUACCAUGCAAGUCGAGCGAGCUCUUCGGAGCUAGCGGCGGACGGGUUAGUAACGCGUGGGAACGUGCCCUUCACUGCGGAAUAGCCACUGGAAACGGUGAGUAAUACCGCAUACGCCCUUCGGGGGAAAGAUUUAUCGGUGAAGGAUCGGCCCGCGUUAGAUUAGAUAGUUGGUGGGGUAACGGCCUACCAAGUCUACGAUCUAUAGCUGGUUUUAGAGGAUGAUCAGCAACACUGGGACUGAGACACGGCCCAGACUCCUACGGGAGGCAGCAGUGGGGAAUCUUGGACAAUGGGCGCAAGCCUGAUCCAGCCAUGCCGCGUGAGUGAUGAAGGCCUUAGGGUCGUAAAGCUCUUUCGCCAGAGAUGAUAAUGACAGUAUCUGGUAAAGAAACCCCGGCUAACUCCGUGCCAGCAGCCGCGGUAAUACGGAGGGGGUUAGCGUUGUUCGGAAUUACUGGGCGUAAAGCGCACGUAGGCGGAUCAGAAAGUUGGGGGUGAAAUCCCGGGGCUCAACCCCGGAACUGCCUCCAAAACUCCUGGUCUUGAGUUCGAGAGAGGUGAGUGGAAUUCCGAGUGUAGAGGUGAAAUUCGUAGAUAUUCGGAGGAACACCAGUGGCGAAGGCGGCUCACUGGCUCGAUACUGACGCUGAGGUGCGAAAGUGUGGGGAGCAAACAGGAUUAGAUACCCUGGUAGU